GGUGAACGCUGGCGGCGUGCUUAACACAUGCAAGUCGAACGAAGCACUUUAUUUGAUUUCCUUCGGGACUGAUUAUUUUGUGACUGAGUGGCGGACGGGUGAGUAACGCGUGGGUAACCUGCCUUGUACAGGGGGAUAACAGUUGGAAACGGCUGCUAAUACCGCAUAAGCGCACAGCAUCGCAUGAUGCAGUGUGAAAAACUCCGGUGGUAUAAGAUGGACCCGCGUUGGAUUAGCUAGUUGGUGAGGUAACGGCCCACCAAGGCGACGAUCCAUAGCCGACCUGAGAGUGUGACCGGCCACAUUGGGACUGAGACACGGCCCAAACUCCUACGGGAGGCAGCAGUGGGGAAUAUUGCACAAUGGGCGAAGGCCUGAUGCAGCGACGCCGCGUGAGCGAAGAAGUAUUUCGGUAUGUAAAGCUCUAUCAGCAGGGAAGAUAAUGACGGUACCUGACUAAGAAGCACCGGCUAAAUACGUG
rnacentral:rRNA from 1 species